AUACGUAGGUGGCAAGCGUUGUCCGGAUUUACUGGGUGUAAAGGGCGUGUAGGCGGAGAUGCAAGUCAGGAGUGAAAUCUAGGGGCUCAACCCCUAAACUGCUUUUGAAACUGUAUCCCUUGAGUAUCGGAGAGGCAGGCGGAAUUCCUAGUGUAGCGGUGAAAUGCGUAGAUAUUAGGAGGAACACCAGUGGCGAAGGCGGCCUGCUGGACGACAACUGACGCUGAGGCGCGAAAGCGGGGGGAGCAAACAGGAUUAGAUGCCCUGGUAGUCCACGCUGUAAACGAUGAAUACUAGGUGUGGGGGGACUGACCCCCUCCGUGCCGCAGUUAACAAAAUAAGUAUUCCACCUGGGGAGUACGAUCGCAAGAUUGAAACUCAAAUGAAUUGACGGG
rnacentral:rRNA from 1 species